rnacentral:rRNA from 1 species
AGAUGAGGAGAGAAUCCUAAGGUGAGCGAGAGAACUCUCGUUAAGGAACUCGGCAAAAUGACCCCGUAACUUCGGGAGAAGGGGUGCUCUAUUAGGGUGCAAGCCCGAGAGAGCCGCAGUGAAUAGGCCCAGGCGACUGUUUAGCAAAAACACAGGUCUCUGCAAAACCGUAAGGUGACGUAUAGGGGCUGACGCCUGCCCGGUGCUGGAAGGUUAAGAGGAGUGCUUAGCUUCGGCGAAGGUACGAAUUGAAGCCCCAGUAAACGGCGGCCGUAACUAUAACGGUCCUAAGGUAGCGAAAUUCCUUGUCGGGUAAGUUCCGACCCGCACGAAAGGCGCAACGAUCUGGGCACUGUCUCAACGAGAGACUCGGUGAAAUUAUAGUACCUGUGAAGAUGCAGGUUACCCGCGACAGGACGGAAAGACCCCGUGGAGCUUUACUGCAACCUGAUAUGGAAUGUUUGUACCGCUUGUACAGGAUAGGUAGGAGCCGAAGAGACGUGUGCGCUAGCAUACGAGGAGGCAAUGGUGGGAUACUACCCUGGCUGUAUGACCAUUCUAACCCGCCACGCUUAGCGCGUGGGGAGACAGUGUCAGGUGGGCAGUUUGACUGGGGCGGUCGCCUCCUAAAGAGUAACGGAGGCGCCCAAAGGUUCCCUCAGAAUGGAUGGAAAUCAUUCGCAGAGUGUAAAGGCACAAGGGAGCUUGACUGCGAGACUGACAAGUCGAGCAGGGACGAAAGUCGGGCUUAGUGAUCCGGUGGUUCCGCAUGGAAGGGCCAUCGCUCAACGGAUAAAAGCUACCCCGGGGAUAACAGGCUUAUCUCCCCCAAGAGUCCACAUCGACGGGGAGGUUUGGCACCUCGAUGUCGGCUC